rnacentral:rRNA from 1 species
AGAGUUUGAUCCUGGCUCAGAACGAACGUUGGCGGCGUGGAUUAGGCAUGCAAGUCGAACGAAUCCCAUCUGGGUAACUGGGUGGGGGAAGUGGCGAAAGGGGCAGUAAGGCGUGGGUAACCUACCCCGGGGACCGGGAUAGCCUUCCUAACGGAGGGGUAAUACCGGGCGAUGCAGCGAGGGCGCAUGUUCUUGCUGUGAAAUGAAUUUCGCCUCGGGAGGGGCUCACGUGCUAUUAGCUUGUUGGUGGGGUGACGGCCUACCAAGGCGAAGAUGGCUAGCGGGUGUGAGAGCACGACCCGCGCCACUGGCACUGCGACACUGGCCAGACUCCUACGGGAGGCUGCAGUCGAGGAUCUUCGGCAAUGGGCGCAAGCCUGACCGAGCGACGCCGCGUGUGCGAAGAAGGCCUUCGGGUUGUAAAGCACUGUCGAGGGGGAGGAAGCCGCAAGGUUGACCGACCCCUGGAGGAAGCACGGGCUAAGUUCGUGCCAGCAGCCGCGGUAAGACGAACCGUGCGAACGUUGUUCGGAUUCACUGGGCUUAAAGGGCGCGUAGGCGGGUCACCAAGUCCGGGGUGAAAUCUUUCGGCUCAACCGGAAAAGGGCCUUGGAUACUGGUGAUCUCGAGGGGGGUAGGGGCGUGUGGAACUUCCGGUGGAGCGGUGAAAUGCGUAGAUAUCGGAAGGAACGCCGGUGGCGAAAGCGACGCGCUGGACCCCUUCUGACGCUGAGGCGCGAAAGCCAGGGGAGCAAACGGGAUUAGAUACCCCGGUAGUCC